GGUUAAGCGACUAAGCGUACACGGUGGAUGCCCUGGCAGUCAGAGGCGAUGAAGGACGUGCUAAUCUGCGAAAAGCGUCGGUAAGGUGAUAUGAACCGUUAUAACCGGCGAUGUCCGAAUGGGGAAACCCAGUGUGAUUCGUCACACUAUCGUUAACUGAAUACAUAGGUUAACGAGGCGAACCGGGGGAACUGAAACAUCUAAGUACCCCGAGGAAAAGAAAUCAACCGAGAUUCCCCCAGUAGCGGCGAGCGAACGGGGAGCAGCCCAGAGUCUGAAUCAGCUUGUGUGUUAGUGGAACGGUCUGGAAAGUCCGACGGUACAGGGUGAUAGUCCCGUACACCAAAAUGCACAGGUUGUGAACUCGAAGAGUAGGGCGGGACACGUGGUAUCCUGUCUGAAUAUGGGGGGACCAUCCUCCAAGGCUAAAUACUCCUGACUGACCGAUAGUGAACCAGUACCGUGAGGGAAAGGCGAAAAGAACCCCGGCGAGGGGAGUGAAAAAGAACCUGAAACCGUGUACGUACAAGCAGUGGGAGCACCUUUAUGGUGUGACUGCGUACCUUUUGUAUAAUGGGUCAGCGACUUAUAUUCUGUAGCAAGGUUAACCGUAUAGGGGAGCCGCAGGGAAACCGAGUCUUAACUGGGCGUUAAGUUGCAGGGUAUAGACCCGAAACCCGGUGAUCUAGCCAUGGGCAGGUUGAAGGUUGGGUAACACUAACUGGAGGACCGAACCGACUAAUGUUGAAAAAUUAGCGGAUGACUUGUGGCUGGGGGUGAAAGGCCAAUCAAACCGGGAGAUAGCUGGUUCUCCCCGAAAGCUAUUUAGGUAGCGCCUCGUGAAUUCAUCUUCGGGGGUAGAGCACUGUUUCGGCUAGGGGGUCAUCCCGACUUACCAACCCGAUGCAAACUACGAAUACCGAAGAAUGUUAUCACGGGAGACACACGGCGGGUGCUAACGUCCGUCGUGAAGAGGGAAACAACCCAGACCGCCAGCUAAGGUCCCAAAGUCAUGGUUAAGUGGGAAACGAUGUGGGAAGGCACAGACAGCCAGGAUGUUGGCUUAGAAGCAGCCAUCAUUUAAAGAAAGCGUAAUAGCUCACUGGUCGAGUCGGCCUGCGCGGAAGAUGUAACGGGGCUAAACCAUGCACCGAAGCUGCGGCAGCGACACUAUGUGUUGUUGGGUAGGGGAGCGUUCUGUAAGCCUGCGAAGGUGACCUGUGAGGGCUGCUGGAGGUAUCAGAAGUGCGAAUGCUGACAUAAGUAACGAUAAAGCGGGUGAAAAGCCCGCUCGCCGGAAGACCAAGGGUUCCUGUCCAACGUUAAUCGGGGCAGGGUGAGUCGACCCCUAAGGCGAGGCCGAAAGGCGUAGUCGAUGGGAAACAGGUUAAUAUUCCUGUACUUGGUGUUACUGCGAAGGGGGGACGGAGAAGGCUAUGUUAGCCGGGCGACGGUUGUCCCGGUUUAAGCAUGUAGGCUGGUUAUCCAGGCAAAUCCGGAUAAUCAAGGCUGAGGUGUGAUGACGAGGCACUACGGUGCUGAAGUAACAAAUGCCCUGCUUCCAGGAAAAGCCUCUAAGCAUCAGGUAACAUCAAAUCGUACCCCAAACCGACACAGGUGGUCAGGUAGAGAAUACCAAGGCGCUUGAGAGAACUCGGGUGAAGGAACUAGGCAAAAUGGUGCCGUAACUUCGGGAGAAGGCACGCUGGUGUGUAGGUGAAGUCCCUGCGGAUGGAGCUGAGACCAGUCGAAGAUACCAGCUGGCUGCAACUGUUUAUUAAAAACACAGCACUGUGCAAACACGAAAGUGGACGUAUACGGUGUGACGCCUGCCCGGUGCCGGAAGGUUAAUUGAUGGGGUUAUCCGUAAGGAGAAGCUCUUGAUCGAAGCCCCGGUAAACGGCGGCCGUAACUAUAACGGUCCUAAGGUAGCGAAAUUCCUUGUCGGGUAAGUUCCGACCUGCACGAAUGGCGUAAUGAUGGCCAGGCUGUCUCCACCCGAGACUCAGUGAAAUUGAACUCGCUGUGAAGAUGCAGUGUACCCGCGGCAAGACGGAAAGACCCCGUGAACCUUUACUAUAGCUUGACACUGAACAUUGAGCCUUGAUGUGUAGGAUAGGUGGGAGGCUUUGAAGCGUGGACGCCAGUCUGCGUGGAGCCAACCUUGAAAUACCACCCUUUAAUGUUUGAUGUUCUAACGUUGGCCCCUUAUCGGGGUUGCGGACAGUGUCUGGUGGGUAGUUUGACUGGGGCGGUCUCCUCCCAAAGCGUAACGGAGGAGCACGAAGGUUAGCUAAUCCUGGUCGGACAUCAGGAGGUUAGUGCAAUGGCAUAAGCUAGCUUGACUGCGAGCGUGACGGCGCGAGCAGGUGCGAAAGCAGGUCAUAGUGAUCCGGUGGUUCUGAAUGGAAGGGCCAUCGCUCAACGGAUAAAAGGUACUCCGGGGAUAACAGGCUGAUACCGCCCAAGAGUUCAUAUCGACGGCGGUGUUUGGCACCUCGAUGUCGGCUCAUCACAUCCUGGGGCUGAAGUAGGUCCCAAGGGUAUGGCUGUUCGCCAUUUAAAGUGGUACGCGAGCUGGGUUUAGAACGUCGUGAGACAGUUCGGUCCCUAUCUGCCGUGGGCGCUGGAGAAUUGAGGGGGGCUGCUCCUAGUACGAGAGGACCGGAGUGGACGCAUCACUGGUGUUCGGGUUGUCAUGCCAAUGGCACUGCCCGGUAGCUAAAUGCGGAAGAGAUAAGUGCUGAAAGCAUCUAAGCACGAAACUUGCCCCGAGAUGAGUUCUCCCUGAGACUUUAAGUCUCCUGAAGGAACGUUGAAGACGACGACGUUGAUAGGCCGGGUGUGUAAGCGCAGCGAUGCGUUGAGCUAACCGGUACUAAUGAACCGUGAGGCUUAACCUU
rnacentral:rRNA from 1 species